UACGUAGGGUGCAAGCGUUAAUCGGAAUUACUGGGCGUAAAGCGUGCGCUGGCGGUUUUGUAAGUCAGAUGUGAAAUCCCCGGGCUUAACCUGGGAACUGCGUUUGAAACUACAAGGCUAGAGUGUGGCAGAGGGGGGUGGAAUUCCACGUGUAGCAGUGAAAUGCGUAGAGAUGUGGAGGAACACCGAUGGCGAAGGCAGCCCCCUGGGUUAACACUGACGCUCAGGCACGAAAGCGUGGGGAGCAAACAGG
rnacentral:rRNA from 1 species